AAAGGUCCCCAGAACCCCUCAGCCUGCGGCAGAUAUUCUACGCACAUGGUUUCUUAAAACUAAAUAAUUUAAAACUGGCAAACCAAAAAAGCAGAAAAAAUCUUCCAACAGGAAGUGUCUCGGGCAAUUUGAAGCUGCUCUGGAAACACAACAGGCGAAACGCGUACGUGCACUGGCUUCUGCCAUCAGCAGCACUGCAUCCCGGGCUGGGGUCGGGCUGAGGGCGACCGCUCGCUAUCUACCCCCUCGUCGGGGCCCACGAAGGACGCAGCGACUCGCGUCGUGGCCGUCGGUGGAGGUGACAGCGAGGGGCCCCUGCACAAGCUGGCAUGCCAGAAAGCAGCACCAAGAACUGAGCAAAAGCUCCCCGGCGCCAGCGCGCCCGGCCGGGCGGCUCUGCACCCUCCGCCGCGUCCCCGCGACCACCAGCCGCGCGGUGGCCUCGCGCCGCAUUACAAUAAACCAGCUCCUUCCUAAAAUGAACCCUAAGCGCUUUCCUGAUUAAAAAAAACAACCAAAAAUA